rnacentral:rRNA from 1 species
GGGAUACCACUUGGAAACAGGUGUUAAUUCCGGAUAACAACAAUAGCUGCAUGACUAUUGCUUAAAAGGCGGCGAAAGCUGUCGCUAAAGGAUGGACCCGCGGUGCAUUAGCUAGUUGGUAAGGUAAUGGCUUACCAAGGCGACGAUGCAUAGCCGAGUUGAGAGACUGAUCGGCCACAUUGGGACUGAGACACGGCCCAAACUCCUACGGGAGGCAGCAGUAGGGAAUCUUCCACAAUGGGCGAAAGCCUGAUGGAGCAACGCCGCGUGAGUGAAGAAGGUUUUCGGAUCGUAAAGCUCUGUUGUUGGUGAAGAAGGAUAGAGGUAGUAACUGGCCCCUAUUUGACGGUAAUCAACCAGAAAGUCACGGCUAACUACGUGCCAGCAGCCGCGGUAAUACGUAGGUGGCAAGCGUUGUCCGGAUUUAUUGGGCGUAAAGCGAGCGCAGGCGGAAAGAUAAGUCUGAUGUGAAAGCCCCCGGCUUAACCGAGGAAUUGCAUCGGAAACUGUGUUUCUUGAGUGCAGAAGAGGAGAGUGGAACUCCAUGUGUAGCGGUGGAAUGCGUAGAUAUAUGGAAGAACACCAGUGGCGAAGGCGGCUCUCUGGUCUGUAACUGACGCUGAGGCUCGAAAGCAUGGGUAGCGAACAGGAUUAGAUACCCUGGUAGUCCAUGCCGUAAACGAUGAGUGCUAAGUGUUGGGA